UUGACCUGAUUGAGCAAAACCAAAGUGAUUUUUGGAUUCAGUUCAUCAAAAUGACCCUGAUAUUUUGUCUGUUUACCAGUGUUAUUGUAUAAAUUCAUGUGCCCUUUAACCCCCCAAGUUUACCUUCAUGAAUCAGAGUAAUACAAAUGGGUCUAAUUAUCAAAAAUAAGCUCAAGACAGCAAUGGAAACUUGUCUUAUCACAGAGACCGCUACAGACAAACUACAGCAGCAACAUGGAACCUGUUAUUAUGCCUCCAAAGAUUUACAUCCUGGUUGAAAUUUGACGCCUUGAUCAACCAAUCCUUUUUUUACUUUGCUUUCUGAUAUCAAACUCUCUUCCACACAGACUCUUGAGCCUCGAGACAUUGCCUUCGUACAUGUCCUUCUUCAGCUUUCCAUGUCAACUUUUCCAAAUGUGAGUGAUGCAUCUUUUCCAGCGAAGAUCUUGGUGAGGAACCUGGGCAGCCUACACAGGUGGAUCUCAUCAGCCCCAUCAGUGGUGGGGAUAAAGGAGCAGCAGAACCUUCACUCGGUGCUGGAUGAUUAACGUGCACUGAUCAGUUUCUGGAUUCACCUACGGGAUCUGUUCCAUUGUUGUCUCCUCUCGUGUGGAUCACCUGCAAGUCUGCCUGCCUGCUGCUCCCUCCGCACCACUCAAUCGCUCCUGGAAGGAUCUAGGAGAACUACUUCUCUGUUAUUACCAGGAAAUAAAACCCUUACCUUUAUUUCGGACUUGUUGAUUUGCAUGUGGGUCAGAAGGUUAAAGCCCACCAUGACAUUAUCAAUGUGAUGAAAGAGGUUUUAUUUGGUGUGAGAGUUUGCAGAGGAUAGGACUGAAUGAAGACAGAUGAUUUGCUGUGGCUGCCCCUGAAAGGAGAAAAGGGCUGAAAGAGAAAAAGAUUUACUUUCAACCAAAUGUUUUCUCAUUUUGGGAUCUAAACUGCAAAGCAGAUAGAUACACAAUAAUGGUGGCAGGAGGAAUAAAAUUAAGUUUGGUUUGUCUGAUUUCAAAACUAAAGUGAGAACAUUGAAUGUGCUGAAUGAAACCMGGGAAUAUAUGUUAUUUCAUAUCUAAACAGCUUCGUAGAUGAGUGUAACUUGUUUGAUUCGAGCCGAACAUUUGAACAAAGCCAGACAUUCGGACUCCUCUGCCGAGGGUCACGUUAAAUGUCGCCACUGCAAAUUUUGAUUUAAUGUCAAACCGACUUUCUGACUAAAGUAUUCCCCACGGAGCCCAAAAACUUUAGGCGAAAUAAGGAAAUGUCAGUAGCGAUCGAGCUCCCUCACUGAAAACAGAAGUUAAAAAACUAAUUCCACAGGGGAACAAAGGCAACGCACCUGAUGAACGAUCAAAGUUAGGAGGACAGUUUUCCUCCAGCUACUCUAAAGCAAAUUAUCAGACUUGUUCGGUUUUCAGAGUCACGAAGUGGGCUGCUUGAAUGUUAAAUAUUGAAAUUGUUUAAUGAGUGAGUAUAUCCGGCAGGAAACCUCCAACUUAAAUGACAUAAUCAGAACAUGCUGUCGCACUCUGAGUCUCACACAAGUGUUUCCUCUUAGUUGAAAGUGCGCGCCCUCGUUCCCUCACACACCCACUCCUUGUAACUUACAAUGUGCUGCAACCAGCAUGAAACAGCUGUAAUUUUUUCUUCACUUUAAGUUGCUCCACUUGAAAUAACAAAACAGUCUCUUCACCUGUGCUGGGGGACAAUAAAUGAGUCAACCAUUUUUUUUCUUUUUUCUCUCUUAUUGUUAAAUCUAAUGAGAUCCUUGCAGGUGGCUAAGAGCACAGAAAUSUUGAGGGUUUGGAAGUUAUCUGACCUACGUGGAGGAGAUAUUAAGAUGCUGCAUCAGCAAAAAAGACAAGAAAAAAAGCACAUAAGUAAAUAAAAUGAAUACGGGACAAAGUUAGCCAGGAAUAGUAGCACGACUUGGUGUGCAGCUGUUGUUUCGCUGAAAGUGCAAAUAAUAAGAAAGAUGUACAUAAUUUGAGCAAAGGUUUAAAAAUAGUUUCUUAAAUUGAUUUUAUCAGUGGUGUUUUUAAAAC